UGGCGGCAGCCUACACAUGCAGUCGAGCGGUAGCACAGAGAGCUUGCUCUCGGGUGACGAGCGGCGGACGGGUGAGUAAUGUCUGGGAAACUGCCUGAUGGAGGGGGAUAACUACUGGAAACGGUAGCUAAUACCGCAUAACGUCGCAAGACCAAAGUGGGGGACCUUCGGGCCUCAUGCCAUCAGAUGUGCCCAGAUGGGAUUAGCUAGUAGGUGGGGUAAUGGCUCACCUAGGCGACGAUCCCUAGCUGGUCUGAGAGGAUGACCAGCCACACUGGAACUGAGACACGGUCCAGACUCCUACGGGAGGCAGCAGUGGGGAAUAUUGCACAAUGGGCGCAAGCCUGAUGCAGCCAUGCCGCGUGUAUGAAGAAGGCCUUCGGGUUGUAAAGUACUUUCAGCGAGGAGGAAGGCAUUAAGGUUAAUAACCUUGGUGAUUGACGUUACUCGCAGAAGAAGCACCGGCUAACUCCGUGCCAGCAGCCGCGGUAAUACGGAGGGUGCAAGCGUUAAUCGGAAUUACUGGGCGUAAAGCGCACGCAGGCGGUCUGUCAAGUCGGAUGUGAAAUCCCCGGGCUCAACCUGGGAACUGCAUUCGAAACUGGCAGGCUAGAGUCUUGUAGAGGGGGGUAGAAUUCCAGGUGUAGCGGUGAAAUGCGUAGAGAUCUGGAGGAAUACCGGUGGCGAAGGCGGCCCCCUGGACAAAGACUGACGCUCAGGUGCGAAAGCGUGGGGAGCAAACAGGAUUAGAUACCCUGGUAGUCCACGCCGUAAACGAUGUCGACUUGGAGGUUGUGCCCUUGAGGCGUGGCUUCCGGAGCUAACGCGUUAAGUCGACCGCCUGGGGAGUACGGCCGCAAGGUUAAAACUCAAAUGAAUUGACGGGGGCCCGCACAAGCGGUGGAGCAUGUGGUUUAAUUCGAUGCAACGCGAAGAACCUUACCUACUCUUGACAUCCAGAGAACUUAGCAGAGAUGCUUUGGUGCCUUCGGGAACUCUGAAACAGGUGCUGCAUGGCUGUCGUCAGCUCGUGUUGUGAAAUGUUGGGUUAAGUCCCGCAACGAGCGCAACCCUUUAUCCUUUGUUGCCAGCGGUUCGGCCGGGAACUCCAAG
rnacentral:rRNA from 1 species